GACGUAGGGCGCGAGCGUUGCCCGGAUUUAUUGGGCGUAAAGAGCUCGUAGGCGGCUUGUCGCGUCGACUGUGAAAACUCGGGGCUCAACUCCGAGCUUGCAGUCGAUACGGGCAGGCUAGAGUUCGGUAGGGGAGACUGGAAUUCCUGGUGUAGCGGUGAAAUGCGCAGAUAUCAGGAGGAACACCGGUGGCGAAGGCGGGUCUCUGGGCCGAUACUGACGCUGAGGAGCGAAAGCGUGGGGAGCGAUCCGG
rnacentral:rRNA from 1 species